UUUUAAAGAAAAUCCUUCCACGUUUAUUUCUAUGGCAACGGUAAAAGCGGUCGGCGCAUCAGCGGAAAAAAAAAGUGGAAGGAAGAGGGAUUGACGGGAAGGGAGAUAAGGGAACAACGGCGGUGAUGGCUGUGCGUCACUAUCCAUGGCUUCUCCAUUAAUGGCAUCGCCGACGACGGUUGGGAUUGGGAGAUGCAUUAUUUUUUAGAUUUUCCGGCGAAAUAGCCGCUGGAAUAAGGUCAGCAGUGGCGAAAGAGGUCGAAUCUAGUGAAAUUUGAAGUUUCUCGGUGAAUUUUCAAUGAUUUUCCGAUGAGUUUUUGGUGGAUCUCGCCAGAAACGGAGCGAGAUGUGGAGCACCAGCGCAGCUGGUUAGCCGGAGAAGGCGGUGACAUCAUGUAUGGCGUUCCGUUUACUAGUUUUCCAAUUUUUUGGCGAUUCCGAC
rnacentral:lncRNA from 1 species